AGUGAACGCUGGCGGUAGGCCUAACACAUGCAAGUCGAACGGCAGCACAGUAAGAGCUUGCUCUUACGGGUUGCGAGUGGCGGACGUGUGAGGAAUACAUCGGAAUCUACUUUUUCGUGGGGGAUAACGUAGGGAAACUUACGCUAAUACCGCAUACGACCUACGGUUGAAAGCAUUGGAUCUUCGGACCUUGCGCGAUUGAAUUAGCCGAUGUCGGAUUAGCUAGUUGGCGGGGUAAAGGCCCACCAAGUCGACGAUCCGUAGCUGGUCUGAGAGGAUGAUCAGCCGCACUGGAACGGGGACACGGUCCAGACUCCUACGGGAGGCAGCAGUGGGGAAUAUUGGACAAUGGGCGGAAGCCUGAUCCAGCCAUACCGAGUGGGUGAAGAAGGCCUUCGGGUUGUAAAGCCCUUUUGUUGGGAAAGAAAAGCAGCAGGUUAAUACCCAGCUGUUCUGACGGUACCCAAAGAAUAAGCACCGGCUAACUUCGUG
rnacentral:rRNA from 1 species